GGUAGCGCUAUUCAAUGAACUGCUCUUAGUCUAUAAUAUAAGACUAUAUUAUGACCGUAGAUCAUAUGUAAUCAACGGCUGUAAUCUCAUUUUUUGUGGGUUUUUAGUUCAUUAAAUAAUUGAAAAAAAUUCGUACGCAUUUUUGACUGAAGGGUAUUAUUGGCAUAUGUUGUUCACCUUCCAUAUCUACGCAUAUUCAGUUCCGAUUUUCACUCCAAUACCUUUCAUAUCUACGCCUAUUCAGUUCCGAUUUUCACUCCAAUUAAAUCUUCAAACAAAGAGGCGACGCAAUGAUUCUGGCGGUCGGCGUAGAUGGAAGAAGGUUGUUGUCGCACGUCCUGGUGGAGGGUGGCGCGGUGGUUCUAAAUCGCGUACUGACGACGCGCGGGGUGGCGUCUAGACGACGCGGCAAUUGCAGGUGUGGAUGGCGGUGGACUGGCGUGAGCUGUGAUGGUGGUGGCGCUACCGAUCACCGUCUAGAUCUUGCGGCGACGCUGUGUGCAGGAGCAGUGCACGAUGAGGAGGAGGCGGCGCACGGCGUUCAACCAUUCGCUGCCCCCGUGUUCUACCCCGACGACACUUCAGACCCGCCCCCAAUCCCCAACUUGGUCGUACGGAUCCCCACACAAAGGUCCCCAUUUUCAGCCCUCAAGAACACGCUGGAAUCCUCACCACAAGUUUCUUCUGGUUCACAAAACAUGGUCUCUGCAUAAUACUUGAUUGCAUGAAUUAUUUAUGGUUUAUGUAUGAAUUAUUUGUAUAAACCAAACCUCCCCGUGCACAUACCUGAUUGCAUGAAUUUUUAACUAUUGCAUGAAUUAUAUUUAGCUUAUGUAUGAAUUAUUUGUAAUUAACGGCUGGGAUUACAUUUUAUGUGUAUUGUAUAGUUCUUUAAACAAAUGAAAAAAUUCAUAAGAAUUGCAGAGAUGAACGACCUCCAGCACAAUUUAGUUGGCAAGUUGGGAUUCGAAGAUGUUCUAGAUCUGGCCAUCCAAGAUCUCCUGGGUCGACUUAGCUACUGGGUUUUGGAUGCGUUCGAUAUCAGGCGUUGCGAUGUUAUUUUACCUAAUGGUCAGUCUCUUCCAGUGACCGGGGACGACGUUCAACGGGUACUAGGCUUUCCAAAGGGACCUAGAAGAAUUGAGUUGAUUAUAUUCGUACGUAAUUGAUAAAGUUGUUCAUAGAAUAGGUGCAAAAAAUUCAUCCAUGUAUUAUCAUGAUCAUAGGUGAUAUUGUAAUCAUGUAUAUAUAAUAAUAUUCAUACUUACUUGCUAAAGUUGUUCAUGUGAUAAGUGCAAAAAAUUCGUAGAUAUAAUAUUAUGAUAGUAUGUAAUAUGCCAAUCCAAAACAGUUCAUGCAAUCAGUUUAUCCCAAAACGUACAUAAGCUAAAACUAAUUCAUAUGAAUUAAAACUAUAUUUGUUGAAUGAAUUAUUUUUUAUUUAUGCAUGAAUUUUUAACGAAUCCAAUAACAAAGAAAAAAAUCUUUAACGAAUCCAAUAACAAUUAUCCUAAUAUAUAUAACAGUCCAAUACCAAAAUGGAAUAUGUCUAAAAUGUGAUGAAUUAUAAGUAUAAUCGUAUGAAUUUUUAUAAAAUAUUAAAGAAUAAUACAUAUAUUUAUUUAAUUCAAAAUAAUUCGUACAACUGAGAAGCAUCGUUCAUACUGAACUUAGUGCACCAUGCAAUACAAACAAUAGAUUAAAAUAAUUAAUAAAUAUAGAAAUUCAUUUGAUUGAGGAUGCAUUAAAACAUAAUGAUAAAAUGAAACGUUGACUAUUUAUUUUUAUUCUGCAGCCUUCCUUGAUUGUAUAAUUAAAUUCAUAUUUUUUUAUAUUAUGGAAUGUAAUAUAUUGCUUAAACAUAAUCCCUUCAUUUAAGGGAUAUAUUAUUAAAAUUCUGAAAUUACUUGUGUACCCUAUAAGCUAAUCUGGCGUUAAUUAGAUGAUAUGAUUUUAACAAGAUCUGUCCGUCCAAAAUUCAAAAUCUAAUGGCCUAGAAUUGUUCUUAUUUUAUAGGUCUAAGCUUGGUUUUAUUUUAGCGCAACCCUAUAUAUAUAUAUAUAUAUAUAUAUAUAAAAUUAAAAAUUGGGAGGAGGCUUUCAGCUAGGGGUGUAAUCGAGCCGAGUCGAGCCGAAUAGAGUCUUGCUCAAGCUUGACUCGUUUAGCGAACCGAACUAUUUGCUUAAUUAUCGACCGUGCUUUAAUCGAGUCGAAUACAGUGCCAAGCCUAAUCGAUCUUUUUAAAUUUAAAUUUUUAUUUAAAAUUUUAGUUAUUUUCCUAAUACAUAAGUUAUUUUAUUCACAAAAAUAUAAUAUAUUUACUAUUUUCUUGUAAAUAAAUGAUGUUGAUUAGAUACUUAAUUCAAAUAUUACUAAUUAUAGUAUAAAAUAUAGUAAGACAUUUAAUGAAUAAUCUUAUGUUUUUAAGAUAAAUCACUUAACGAGCCGAGUAUCGUCAUGCUCAAGCUUGGCUUGUUUAGCUAAAUGAGUUGUUCAUUAAAUUACCGAUCAAGCUUUUAUCUAGUCGAACGUCGAAUAGCUCAUGAGUAGCUUGGCUUGUUUAUAGUCCUAGCUUCAGCCCCCCGGAUCCGCCACUGCUUGUUUCCAUAAAUGGUAAAAUUUAACUCAUAAAAAAAUAUAGAUCCUAUCAUUUUUAACUAUUUUAUAUUUCUCCUUAUUUUACAUAUAAUAAAGUAAUUCGCCACUUUUAAUGAGACAACCAGAGUAUAUAUUAUAUAUCCUAAUCACCCCAAACAAAGCAGCAGUAAAUAUUGUGAAUUAAUAUGAAUACAAAGAGUAUAGGCAUAAAAUAACAACAAUAAUGACAACUGGCUUCCGUUUUUUAUUAAAGGGUUAAAGUACAUAUUCACCCCUGAAGUCCACACCCCUAGUGCGUUCCGCUCCCCACACUCGGCUCAGGCCCAAAUAACUCCCCAUAGCCCAUAAAAAUACUACACUUAAGCCCACCCGUUUGACGGCCCAAAGACGUCGUUUCUUAAAUAAUUUUUUUGUAUUUUAUUUUCGCGUAGGGCCCACCUUCCAACGGCUUCCAACGGUUCUUUAAUUAGAAAUUAGGGUUCAAAUAGUAUGAACCCUAACUUGCGAUUACAGGGGCGAUGAAUUGGCAGAAGUAGAAGAAAAUUUGUUAAAUUAGCUUAGGGUUUCUUUUGGAUAUAAGAAAUCAAGGUAAGAACAUGAGUUUGAACUCAGGAUUUGGGUCCUCAUCGUCACGUGGUCGAAGGCAGAUGGAUGCUGAGCAUGGGAGUAAUUACGUGUAUUGUCGUUGCGAGUUUGAAGGCAGGAGGCUUCAAGCUCCGAGAAUUACCUCAUGGACAGACGACAACCCCGGGAGAAGGUUCUACAGAUGUAGAAAUUGGAGAGUAUGUCAUUUCUUGUUUUACUUGGUUGUAGACGAGAAAUCUGUGGUUUUCUUAAAUUUCAUACUUUGUUGUUUUCUUUGUAGACGAAAAACAGUGGUUUUUUCGUCUGGUAUGAAGAGCCCAUGUGUGAGAGAGCUAGAGAAGUGAUAAAUUACUUGAAGAAUGAAAAUAUGAAGCUCUUAAGGAUCCAUCAAAGUUCGGCCUCUCCCCUGGAUGUGGAGUUGACAACCUUUGGAAUGUAAUGGAAGGCUUAAAGGAAGAAUCCAGGAAAGUUAGAAGGAAAAAUACAAUUGUUGUGAUGUUUUGAUUGUAUCUUGGUUGAUGAUAGGCUAUGUUGUUCUAGCAUGAAAUUGGCAAUAUUUGGAAUGUAAUGGAAGGCUUGGUAGGUUUUCAUUGUUUUUGUAUCUACUGUCUGCUCUACUUUGUAGCAAUGAAUGAAUGAAAUGAGUUUGAUUAACAUACUCUUGCUCCAAUCUUACCAAAAAUCAGAAUCCAAUAAUACAUGUGCAAUUAAAGGAUGUUAAUCUUACAAAAAUUCAGAGAUUUUCAUAAAAGAACCUGCAUUUCAUUAACCAAAUUUAAGCUUAAACAAUUGUCUAUGCAGUAUACAUCCCCAAAAACCACAUUUGUGUAUGCAGUAUACAACCAGUAGUUGUGGUAGCAAAAAAACUGAAUUUCAUCUUGCCCAAUCAGUUCAAGGUAAUCUAACACUUUUGCACAAUGUUUUUCAUCCCUAAGGAGUACUAGGCCAUCUUCUACAGAAUAAUCCUCAUCAAGAGCAUAGACUGCCCUAGGUUUAAAUUUUAUGCAUAGCUCGAAUUCAUUCAUUAUUCUUUCCAAAGUCAUAUUUCCUACUGUAUCUUCUAUUUUAGUCGAGUUCCAGCCAUCAUAUAACAAUUUACCAGUUUCUUCAUCUUUUUUCCAAUAACCCCAAAAAUUAAACACAAAGUUGACCUUUGCAUCAGACAUUCUGCACAACCAAAACACACAAAAAGAACACAAUAUAAACAUUCAAGACAUGCUAUUAAUGAUUCAUCUAAUAGAGAAAUAGUGUAGAAUAGGUUUGCAUGCUCUGGAAAAAUAAAUAUCAAUGUUAAGGCAUGACUUACCUAUUUUCGGAACUGGAUUAGUUUCGUCGUCGGAACACUCGUAUCACUUGAAGAAAUCGCCGGAACAGUCUUCUUCUCCUUCGAUUUCGUCUGCAGAUUGUGAGUUUGAAAAAUGGAAGAAAAACUCUUCGUAUCCUUAGGUAUUUACACCAACCCGCGUAAAUAGUUGGAAGGUGGGCCCCACGCGAAAAUAAAAUACAAAAAAAUUUAUUUAAGAAACGGCGUCUUUGGGCCGUCAAACGAGUGGGCUUAAGUGUAGUAUUUCUAUGGGCUAUGGGGAGUUAUUUGGGCCUGAGCCGAGUGUGGGGAGCGGAACGCUCUAGGGGUGUGGACUUCAGGGGUGAAUAUGCACUUCAACCCUUUAUUAAAUGUUCUAUUUUAUUAUUUUCCUUGUUUCUUAUUAAGUGUCCCAUUUCAAAAUUUGAGAGUAUAAUUAUGACAUUCUUCCUAUUUUAUCCUUAUUUAAUACUUGUAUGAAUAUAAUAAAUAGUUGUAUAUAUGCAUUUAUUAUGAUAAUUACUCAGGUUACAAAUGUAAAUAUCUUAUUUUAUUCGUACGUGUAUUUUAACGGCUGAGGACACUUAAUAAAAAACGGAAGGAGUAUUAAUUAGAAUCUUAAAAAGAAACUUAAUUAACCUCAACCUUAAUAAUAAGUCAACGCUUUAAUUAUUUGUCUUAAAUUUAUUACUCCAUUCCUCCCCCCUUUGAUAGUUUACGUUACUUUUCAACACAUAUUUUAUAAUAUUAUUUAUAUAUAUAUAAUUGUUCUAUUUUGCACUUAUUUAGUAUUUUACAUAUUAUCUUCACACACAUUGAAUAUUCAUAAAACUUUGUUUUAUGAAUAGCACUUCAAAUCAUUAGACAACAGUAUUUGAAAUAGUAUUAGUACUUUAUAAUGUGAAUUAAUAAAAAUACAAAGAAAAUGCAUAAAAUAACAACAAUAAUAUUAAUAAGUGGCUAAAAAUAAUUACAUAUUAUUUUCACACACAUUAAAAUAAUCAUAAUCAUGCGCAUUAUCAUAUUAUUCAAAUCUAAGGAGAAGGAAAUAUACCUUAUUAAUUUUUUGUGAAUUUCGUUCUUAUUUUGACUUUCCAGUUGAGUCCUCCCUUUCCCCUUAACUUCGUUCGUCUUGAUCUUCCCUUGUCUCGCCAGCUGAGUGUGAUCUGAAUGUAUAUUAUCAUAAUAUAUGAGAACAUAUUCUUAGUAACAUGAAUUAAAUUUAUUUAAAGGGAAAAUACCUGUUUUUCUUUCUUUUUUUCUGCAAUACGUUUUGCCUGUUAUCUAGGCUCGUCUCUAUCUUCUUGUAUGUAUCUUCCGAUUCAAUCCUCCCGCGAUGAGCUACGUCGUAAUUGAAAGGGGUUUUGAUCUCUCAAACUUCACCAUACAAACAAGAGGCCGAAAAAUGAUAACUUAAUUUUCCUUUCUAUAGCCCUCUGUGUUUGACACUAUUCUAGAUCUGUUUUCUUCUCUAGAUAGGAACCUAAUUAAUAAUUAUUCUAAACAAACAUUGCAGCUAAUUAAAUAUUACAACCAUUUGUAUAUAUUAAUUAGUCCUUAGAAAGUUGCGAU
rnacentral:lncRNA from 1 species